CGGACGGGUGAGUAACACGUGGAUAACCUACCUAUAAGACUGGGAUAACUUCGGGAAACCGGAGCUAAUACCGGAUAAUAUAUUGAACCGCAUGGUUCAAUAGUGAAAGACGGUUUUGCUGUCACUUAUAGAUGGAUCCGCGCCGCAUUAGCUAGUUGGUAAGGUAACGGCUUACCAAGGCGACGAUGCGUAGCCGACCUGAGAGGGUGAUCGGCCACACUGGAACUGAGACGCGGUCCAG
rnacentral:rRNA from 1 species